UACGUAGGGUGCAGGCGUUAAUCGGAAUUACUGGGCGUAAAGCGUGCGCAGGCGGUUUGCUAAGACAGGUGUGAAAUCCCCGGGCUUAACCUGGGAACUGCGCUUGUUACUGGCAGGCUUGAGUGUGGCAGAGGGGGGUGGAAUUCCACGUGUAGCAGGUGAAAUGCGUAGAGAUGUGGAGGAACACCGGUGGCGAAGGCGGGUCUCUGGGCCGAUGACUGACGCUGAGGAGCGAAAGCGUGGGGAGCAAACAGG
rnacentral:rRNA from 1 species